rnacentral:rRNA from 1 species
GAUGAACGCUGGCGGCGUGCUUAACACAUGCAAGUCGAGCGAUGAAGCCCAGCUUGCUGGGUGGAUUAGUGGCGAACGGGUGAGUAACACGUGAGUAACCUGCCCUUAACUCUGGGAUAAGCCUGGGAAACUGGGUCUAAUACCGGAUAGGAGCGUCCACCGCAUGGUGGGUGUUGGAAAGCUUUAUCGGUUUUGGAUGGACUCGCGGCCUAUCAGCUUGUUGGUGAGGUAAUGGCUCACCAAGGCGACGACGGGUAGCCGGCCUGAGAGGGUGACCGGCCACACUGGGACUGAGACACGGCCCAGACUCCUACGGGAGGCAGCAGUGGGGAAUAUUGCACAAUGGGCGAAAGCCUGAUGCAGCGACGCCGCGUGAGGGAUGACGGCCUUCGGGUUGUAAACCUCUUUCAGUAGGGAAGAAGCGAAAGUGACGGUACCUGCAGAAGAAGCACCGGCUAACUACGUG